CCUCAUCAAAAACAUGGCUUUGACCUGCGUCCUCAUCUGGACUCUCCUCUGCUUCACUCAGGGGUCUGUCGGACAAGAUGUUGUCUUGACUCAGCCAACAGCCAAAUCAGUGCAGCUCAGUCAGACUGUAACUAUUAACUGUAGGGCCAGUACUAAAGUAGCUGAGUACUCUGCUCCAAAAUACCACCUGUUCUGGUACCACCAGAAAACUGGAGAAGCUCCUAAAGCUCUGAUCUACUUAACUUCAGACAGAUUUUCAGGAAUCUCCUCCAGAUUCAGUGGAAGUGGAGCAGGAAAUGGGUUAGACUUCACUCUGACCAUCAGUGGAGUCCAGGCUGCAGAUGCAGGAGUUUAUUACUGUCAGAGUUAUCACAGCAUCAACAGUCAGGCUGUGUUCACACAGUGAAAAACAGUCAUACAAAAACCUCCCUCAGUCACACUGAACAGAGACUGAACUGCUGCUGCAGCUGGAAGAUACCACACACACUGAUACAGUUCACUGAACACACACUGUGCAAACACACACUUCAUCCAUCAUUUAUAUGUUCCAACUGAUAUGAUGCUGAUCAAACAUCAGCCUUC